UUCAUAGAGUGUAAAGGCAUAAGGGAGCUUGACUGCGAGACCUACAAGUCGAGCAGGGUCGAAAGACGGACUUAGUGAUCCGGUGGUUCCGCAUGGAAGGGCCAUCGCUCAACGGAUAAAAGCUACCCCGGGGAUAACAGGCUUAUCUCCCCCAAGAGUUCACAUCGACGGGGAGGUUUGGCACCUCGAUGUCGGCUCAUCGCAUCCUGGGGCUGUAGUCGGUCCCAAGGGUUGGGCUGUUCGCCCAUUAAAGCGGUACGCGAGCUGGGUUCAGAACGUCGUGAGACAGUUCGGUCCCUAUCCGUCGUGGGCGUAGGAAAUUUGAGAGGAGCUGUCCUUAGUACGAGAGGACCGGGAUGGACAUACCUCUGGUGUACCAGUUGUCGUGCCAACGGCAUAGCUGGGUAGCUAUGUGUGGACGGGAUAAGUGCUGAAAGCAUCUAAGCAUGAAGCCCCCCUCAAGAUGAGAUUUCCCAACUUCGGUUAUAAGAUCCCUCAAAGAUGAUGAGGUUAAUAGGUUCGAGGUGGAAGCAUGGUGACAUGUGGAGCUGACGAAUACUAAUCGAUCGAAGACU
rnacentral:rRNA from 1 species